rnacentral:lncRNA from 1 species
UCACACUAUGAUGAUCUUAUUGUGUAUAAGGGUCAAUGCUAUGUUGUUGAUAGAUGGGGAACAAUUUCAUGGGUCAAUUCUGAUUUGAAUGUGAUCCAAUUUUCGCCUCCGUUAUGUGGGUUUGGCGGGCGAAAGCAUUUGGUUGAGUCUUGUGGCGAUCUCUUCGUUGUUGAUCGGUACCUUGACAAGUGUGAAAUGGAAAGGUUCCCAGAGCACAAUGUUGAGAAUGAAAAUGUUAGUGUUUUUGGCCCUAAUUUUCAAGCUCCUCCUCAUCCUUUCGCCUCUUCUGUUGACGGCGAGGCUGUUGAUUUUAAAGUUUAUAGGCUGGAUCAAGAAUGGGGUAGGUGGGUUGAUGUGAAAAACUUGGGAGAUCAAGUGUUUAUUUUGAGCAAUGAUGGGUCUUUCGCCGUAUCCACCAGAGACGUUGGUAGAGUGAAGGGAAAUUGCAUUUUAUUCACUGAUCAAAAGCUUCCUCAUUUACACGGAAUUGGGGGAUCAAAAAGGUGUAACACUCGCGUGUUCAUGCUAGAGAGUGGCAUCAUUCGGGACGGACAUGCUUUGUCCGCCUUUAACAAAAUGCUCCAUCCACCAUCCAGUUGGCUCCGCCCUGUUCUUGAUUUCCGUCGGCAUCGGCUUGCUGACUGAUUAAUGUAAGUGUGAUAUGCUUUAUUCUUCUCAAAAUGUGAAAUGUUUACUGUUUACUGUUUACAUGCUUACAAAAUUUUUGUUUUUGCCACUCGGCGAAACAAAAAGUGCUUUGUAUUUUCAACUGAAUUUCAUCUUCAGAAUCUGAUAGCAGAUAAGCAAUUUUCGGUAUCAUUAACAAGGCUAGUUCAUGCAGUCUUUUUCCUAAAGAACAUUAUCAUUGAGCUCAAAGGAUUGUAGGUUUCCAGCGAUUACAAACCCAUGAUUUAGUGCUCAUGUUAUGACAAUCUUCCGUAGACACCGAAUGGCUAUAUCGAAAAUGUAAACAAAUUGAUGUAUGAUAACGCGCGUUUUAAAGAAAAACGAAGAAAUACAGGUUUUCUUCAAAACCCGAAAAAGUUCUAUCGCGAUUCAGGAGGUAGAUUGAGAGCAUGAUUAUUCCCGAGUAUUGUGUACUGAUAGUGUUUCACUUGGAAAAAAUAGGAUUUGUUUGUUAUUAAUUACUUCUCAACACUUGACAGGGAUAUUGCUGACAGCGAUUGAAGACACAUUUUCUGCAUCUCUCGGAGGCGGAAUAUCCAGUAUCCAGUUUCUCAUGAAGAGUGAUUUGUAGAAUCAUCUGCUGUGAAACUAGUGUAAAAUCAUCAAUCUAGUUUAUCCGAUGUGUAAGCAUGCGGUUUAUCGAUGUUAUUGUGGAUGUAUGUAUGCAGAUUAUGCAAUCCGUUUCUUCGUUGAACUCAAAUCUUUACAUGUAAUUGGUAAUGUAAUGCGUUUCUUGAAUAAGAUUCCCCUCCUCACCCACCCCUUUCCACUCUCUUCUCCCAUCAUCCUAUGACGACACUUGCUUGAACUCGUUGUCAUCCUUAGCACGCAUUAGAAACCAUAAAAAUUGGUGGAAUAGUUCGAUUGAAGAGCGUAAUUUUCGGAACUUAUCAUUUCUAGGUUUUUGUUCUUGAGUUUGAGUCUUCUUGUUGGUCAAAACUAAAUCGAAAUGAAGAACACAAAACUUAAAUUUCUUGAAGAUAAGUAAUUUCGCGCUCUCUCUUUCAACUUUGGUUUCUUUAAUUUCGUGACUUCCUUUUGAAAUCGUAGCACAAAGGUUGUAAACUACAAACAUUCACGACAAAACUCUUUUGAUUUUAUAAAAUUUGAGUGAUGAUCGAUGGACCAAUUGGUUUUAGUUGUUAGUUUUUCAAUUUUAUUAUAAUUUAACAGACCAAAAAUUGAAAUUUUGGAUUUAUAUAUAUUAUCUAAAUACAACCACAUAUCAACCACUAAAUUGUAACAAAGCGAGAAGAACAAAAAAAAACAACUUCUCAAUUAUUACGACUAGCUAAGAGAUGCAUCUCAUGGAGUACAUCGACACAGGAGAAUCAACCGCGGGCGCAUCGUACACCCUUGGAUGAUCGCUCUCCAAUCCGUAGUCCAUCAUCGGACGGUGAUCCAAGUCCUCAUCAUGAUCGUACACGAAAUCAGGCACCUCAAUCUCGCUCCUCCUCACGUGCUCCCACAAAUAAUCGGGGAAAAUUUGGAAAAAUAACCAAAUUUUAGAUCUCAUAUAGAAUUAUAACCACUAUCUUAAUUUUAUGAUAAUUAUAACCAAAACUUGAUGUAAAAGUAUUAAUUUUAUGAUAAUUAUAACCUUUAAACUACCUUAAAAUGUUGAGGAUUACUGCAUGUUGAUACACAAAACCGGAAGUUUUAGAACAACGUAAAUCCGACCGUGAAUCUGCAAAUAAUGUAAAUAACAUAAGAUGUAUCGUGGUUCACCCCAAGGUUUGGGCUACGACCACACUGAUUGUAUUUCUCUGACUGUAUGUAUGGAUUACAAGAGUGAGGGAGAGUCUCCUAGAGAACGAGAAUGUUGUUGUGUUUGUGAGGGUAUUGCCCUGUGUUGGGUUCACUCUCCCCUUUUGUGAGGGGGGAGGAGUCCACUUUUAUAGAAUAAGGGGCUCCUCCUUUUACAUAAUUAUAGGCUAGGUAAUGAGGCCCAAAUGUUGAGGCCCAAUGUGUCAAGGUCUGAGGCCCAAUAUGUGUGGUACCAACAGUAGUCCCCCAAGUCUUCAGUCAAGAGAGUCUUUUGGCUGGAGACUUCAAAUCCAAUCCAUGUACGGGCCAAAGUGGCUAGAUGUCUUGAACCAGUACUCAACCUAAGACAAUGUUCAACAUAAAGCAAUACUUGGCUAGAGGUAUCACACGUUACGAGACUACUCGGCUGGAGGCUAUGCUCGCGGCGAGGCGUUUGCUCGGCUGGAGGCGAUGCUCGUUGCGAGGCGGCUCGGCUCGUGGUAUUCCUCAUUGCAAGUAACUAUUUUAUGUCGACAUGCACUCAGUAUAUGUUGAUUCUCGACAUGACUCGGGUCCGCUUGUCGGGUUCGCAUAUUGGGUCUAUGUGUCUAGUUCGCAGAUCGGGUCCACAAGUCGGGUCUUUGAGUCGGGGCCAUACGUAGGGUCAUCGAGUUGGGGCUAUCUGUAGGGUCAUCGAGUUGGGUCCAGGCACAUAGGUGUCCCAAUAAGCGAAUGUCCGAGCAAGUGUGUGUCCGGUCAGACAAGAGAUCACCAUGAGCACGUGACUCAUCAGUCUAUAAGUUGGUAGACUUCUUUAAUCAGCAACAAUGUUGAUCAGUGGAUCUAGUUGCUCAAUAAUUCCUGACAAUAAAUGACAGUAUAAGUACGACCGUAUAAUGAAUGAAUCAAAUUGACAAAGUUUGUCAAGGCAAAAUAAUGUAUUAUGUGCCUUUUUGUGAAUAAAUGAUUUAAUCUGUUGUGUGAUAAAUGACAUGUUGUAUAAGUGACAUAGUUUAAAGGCAAUCAUAAUAUUCUAGGCCAUGAAUAAAUAUUGCACAUGUACUUGGGUUAAAUAUAUGUCACAGGGUAAUAAAUAAUAUAUAUAUAUAUAUAUAUUAUAUUUUCAUUCAAGUCGUUGAUAUCCAAUUUGAUCAGAUGAGGUGAUAAAAUAAUUAUAUAAUGUAAAUGGUGUGGUGGGUGUACAGACUUUGCCACGUUUUAUGGUAGUGAUCUUAUAAUGAUCAAAGUAAUGAUAAGCAUCACAAACAAUAAUAAUUAUAACAUAGUAAAAGUAAGAAUCUAAGGCAAUGUGACCCGACAUAAUAAGUACAUAAGUGUAAUCAUGUAACUUUAUUAUAAUGGUAAUGGUGCACAUAACUAAUAUAUAUAUAAAUAUAAUAAGCACAUAAGUGUAAUCAUGUAACUUUAUUAUGAUGGCAAUGGGGCACAUAACUAAUAUACAUAAUAAGCACAUAAGUGUAACCAUGUAACUUUAUUAUAAUGGCAAUGGGGCACAUAAUAUAUAUAUUAGUGAAGACAAGCAAACGUUGUAAAGCGUAAGCACACUGCAAAAGAAAUGCUCAUUGUAAAGCAAACGCUGUCAUUGGAAUUCCAAUAAUGAUGUGAAGAUGUGAUGGUGUGGUUUCCAGCAACAAUGUCACUAUAAAAUAAUAAUGAAAUAAUAAACUAGUUAAUGAUUUUGCAGAAAACUUAUCAUCUUCGUUGCUUUUCCUGUGGCUUUCUCAGAAAAGCCAUUUCUCCUUCAUGAUGAAAGUUUCAUCAUUUCAUGAUCGUGGGACCAUUGAGCCAAAGCUCUCCCGUCACAUUCGUCACCAUAUCCAGUAGUUGGUUUCCACUGAUAAGAGUUGUGAUCAUCCCAGGCAUGCUGUUUGUUGUAGAUGAUGGUAGCAUCGAGACUUCUGGCUGGGUUGAUGCCAGUUCCGAUGAUGGGGAUGGUGGCCAAGUGCACCAAGAACAGCUAUCUGAAUUGGGAAAAGGCUCGAUAUGCCAUGGUUCUCAAGGCUAUCAAGAAGCCGCACCAUAUUUCUUUAACGGUCAUUUCAACAGUGUCAUCUCCAAAAGCUGCACCAUAUUAUUCUAAAUGCUCAUAUCUUCGCUGCUAAAUUCUGAUCUUUCCAAAAAACAUGCAGCAAAUUCCAAUGAAUGUUGCACAAUAGCAACAAUUACCGCAUCCGCUUGCUCCACAGACAGAGAUCGAGAUAAGGAAGCGACGGCGUAGGAAAUCGAAUACACAGCUUGAAUUUGAGAAUCGGCCCAUGAUUAGAGCCCUAGCUUGCCGUCUCCAGCGGACUCAAUGCCAUGUUAGAAUCGGGAGAAGGUUCUCGAGUCCUGGUCUAAUCGAGUCGGGGAAUGAGCGCAACCUCUGCAAGAGAUCAGUGGACGAGAUGGGCUUGCCGUCGGAGUAGAUAGACUCGACAAGUCUGGCGAAGGUCUCGGCCAUGGCGAGCGAGACGAUCGAGUGCGAGGUUGACACGCCCCGAUCCCGAUGUCCUCGUGACAUCGGGAUGAUCACGUGCUGGCCGACACCCAAAGGGUGACGAAAGCCAUUAAUUUAAGUAAAAACUCAUAAAUAAGCUAAAACAGGCAGCAAGACUAGCCACAAUAAUACUACCAAAUCAACUUCUAAUUAACAACAUUAGGAUCCAUGCAAAAUGUCAGAGCAUACGUCUAUUACAGAGUACAAACAGAAUAUAAGAUAGAGAUGUGCUAUAUUACAAAAGAUGUCGAAGCAGAAGAAGUAUAGCACUGGAUCACUGGUAGGGAAAGGCCUCGUAGCUUAUAUCGUAAUCCUCGUUCGUAGGUCCUGAAGGGGGCGCAAAACAAACAUGAGUGGACCAAUUUGAUAUAAAUAUAAUAAAACAGUUAUCAACAUACUAACCCCCAGGUUUUAUGAAAACAUAUAUAUCAUGAUCAAAAUAGAUUUUCUGAAACCUAGCAUGCCGUGCAAUAUCUCAAAUUCAUAACUUGUAUAAGUAAUAAACACUAGUGAAUUGUCCGAUAACCUGCAGGCCCCAUGCCGGCUCCCCGUCUCUGAACAGACAAUCAGAGGAAAAUACACUACAGGCCCCAUGCCGGCUCCCCGUCUCUGUGCUAAAUAGCCAGAGGAAACACACUCCAGGCCCUAUGCCAACACCAAACCGUCGCCCGGGACGGACCGGAAUCUAUCCCUACGUCCCGUAGCGGAAAGGACCACUAGGUAAGUACAAAACCAUUGAGCAUAACAUAUUGAAAAACAACUUCGUAGUAUAAAGUCAUCCAUCAUCUAUACUACAAAGAGGUGUUCUAAACAUGUUCUAAUAUCAUAUCGUCAUCCAUCGGAUAUUCUAUAAGAACAUGGGUUAUAGGAAAAAUAGUAAUAAUUCAAUCUAGCCUCAGUAAGCAUAUAUCUCAUAAAGUACUUCGUAAAACAUAAAUAUUAAAUCAUGCUUUUCAUGUAUGCAUUUCUAUUGUUAAAACAUGAUUUUGAAGGGGUCCACUCACCGUACACCGACGGUGCAAAGCUAUACCAAGAAGGUAUAACAGAAUCACCGUUAAUAAUUGCACCUAUUCACAUAAAGGAGUACCUUUGGUCAAACUCUAUUCAAACGAUUGAAUUUGGGAAAACGGACUUCAAAAACGGGUCCAGGACGUCGAAAUUAGCCUAGGAGAGGUCCUGAACGAAACCCCGAAAAGUCAACUCAAAAAGUCAACGUUGACCGUUGACCGGUCAAAGUCAAAGUCAACGUCAAAGUCAACUCAACGUUGACCGUUGACCAAGUCAACAGUCAACUGGUCAGAGGUCAAAGUCCACUGGGCUUUGAAUUUGGGUUGGGCCGAAAGGCCUUAAGGGUUUUGGGUUGAAAACCCAACUCAGAUUGGCCCAAGGCCUAAUCUGCUUGGGCUACACACACGGGCCUAAUGCCCUAAACAUAACCGGCCCAAGGGCCUUAAUCUAUAACAGAAAUUAAUUUAAACAAUUAAAAGGAAAUGGGUUGGAUUGGGCUGGCCUCACCACACGGGCCUAAGGCCCGCCUGCUAUUCGAAACCGGCCUGGGAGGCCUGGCCUCACCGGAGCACCACCACCGGAGCUUCACAGCUCCGGCCAACUACCACACACCAUCCUAAAGUCCGAUCUAGGUACCAAAACGAAGAGCAAGACGAAUGGAGUGUUUUUAUACCUUCCUUUCGUCGUGGAACGACCGGAGAUGGCCGGAAAAAGCCCCGACACCCUCGGGAUCGCCGGAGUUGGGUGUGCUUACACCCGGCUUCGAUUCGUCCUAAAAACCUCGAAAAAUCACAAAAUAACCUCCAUUAAAACUCAUUCACCAGAUCUUAGGACGAAAAAGUGAAGGUUUGGAGCUUACCCAACCGGGAAAAAUAAAGGUUUCGCCGGAGUUCCUCUCCGGUUUCUGGGCUCGCAGCACGGGACAGAGGGAGAGAGAAGAAGGAGAUGGGUCUUCUUCGCGCGGGGGAGACGGGUGCGUGCGUGCGGGUUGCUGCAGAGAAGAGAGAUGAGGGAGCUAUGAGAGAGAGAGACGAGAGAAAGAGAUAGAGUCGAGAGGGACAGAGAGACAGACAGAAGAAAGAAAAGAAAACAGAAAAAGAAGAAAAAGAAAGAAGGAGUCACGGGGGGGGGGACAGAGAGAGAAGACAGGGAAAUUGCUAGGGAGCUGCCACGUGGCAGUUUGAAAAGAAAGAAGGAUCCAAAACUUAGAUCCUUAUAGGGUAGUCCAAAAAGGGUAAAAUUGAUAGAUUUAUAAUAUUUAGGGAAUAUUACACACAUAUAAUUUAUAAGUGGGGGCGGGUGUUACAGAGGUUCAGUGCAUUGGAGAGAGCCUGAAACUAGAUAUUUGAGUCCGAAUCCAGAUUCGAAAACCUCUUCCGGAUCGUCGAUGCAGUUGUUGAUGAUGGCGGAUAAGUGGAUCGCGUGAAUGUGAGAUCAGGAGACUUGGUGUGCAGCCCUCCUGCUAAACCAAACUCUUCGUUGUCCAUCAGGAGCUCAUCAAAUUGGAAAGCUGUUGCUACUGUAAUACAGAGCACGACAGAGAUUACGAAGAUCAACCGCUAGUGAGACGACUGAGAGCAGGAGAGAGAGAGCGCCCUCAAGUUUCAGUUGAAGUCCGCGACUUUUGUGAAGAUCUUGUAGGGUGGCUCUUUAGUCAUCCUGAGGAUCCUAUGCAGGAUGAUGAUAAACUGGCUCGAGCACUUGCUCUUUCACUGGGAGAUUCAUCAAAUGCGUCUAAAGCAAAGAAUGUUGAAAAAUCUGUUGAUGUGCUGGCAAAAGAGGGUUGCGUAGAUUCACGGUGGAGGUUGUGAAAGUUUCACGAUGGUGAGAUGAAAAAUUGAGAGAGAACCGACAUAGCUUUUCGUGUCGUUUCCCACAGACGGCGCCAAAUGUUGAUGCACAAAACCAGAGGUCUUGGAACAACGUAAAUCCGACCAUGAAUAUGUAAAUAAUGUAAAUAACACAAGAUGAAAAUGUUGAUGCACAAAACCGGAGGUCUUGGAACAACGUAAAUCCGACCGUGAAUCUGCAAAUAAUGUAAAUAACACAAGAUGUAUCGUGGUUCACCCCAAGGUUUGGGCUACGUCCACACUGAUUGUAUUUCUCUGACUGUAUGUAUGGAUUACAAGGGUGAGGGAGAGUCCCCCCAGAGAAAGAGAAUGUUGUUGUGUUUGUGAGGGUAUUGCCCUCUGUUGGGUUCACUCUCCCAUUUUGUGAGGGGGGAGGAGUCCCCUUUUAUAGAAUAAGGGGCUCAUCCUUUUACAUAAUUAUGGGCUGGGUAAUGAGGCCCAAAUGUUGAGGCUCAAUGUGUCAAGGUCUGAGGCCUAAUAUGUGUGGUACCAACACUACAGAUUGAGGCCAUUGAAUUAACUUUCUCUUUAAUUAGCAGGACAAGCUAUGAGAAUUAAUGUUCUUAAGAAGGUACUAAUUCCAUGGGUAAUUAUUACUUUUUUUAAUUAGAUACUUGGAUUUAGUGUUUCAUUGACUAAAUUACAUAAUGGAUGAAGAAAGAAUACGAAAUUGCAUACGCAAAGUCAAUAGUGAAAACCAAAAAGUGAUGAAGAUUAAUUUCUCGUUUUAAGAUAGUUUAAGGGUUUGUUUUGGUUGUUGUGAGAAACCCUAAUAUUAAGGGUAUAUUAGUACUUUUACAUCAAGUUUUUUUUUAUAAUUAUCAUAAAAUUAAAAUAGUGGAUAUAAUUCUAUAUAGAAUCUAAAAUUUGGUUAUUUUUCCAAAUUUCCCAAUAAUGGAGCCUGCUCACGUACCUUAGCUUUUCGUAUACCCUGCGCCGCACCACAAGCGCACGUUAAUACAAAUGACAGGAAGAAUGCUUGCUUGCGCCUUUUCUGUUCAAGUAAAUCAAUCAAUUAUUUACUCGUUGGUGAAAAAGAAGCGGCCGAAGGUGGUGAGAAAGAGGCGGGCCUGGAGGCUGAGGUGGAGGAAAUACACGGCUUCGAGAUUCUGGCGGACGUCGAUCGAGAUGGCAUCGUAGAUUGAUCGGACGGCUAAGAUUCCGGGGAAGUUCUUGCACCUUUGAGCUCCGGUGUGCACGUACAGCGCAUCAAACGACUUUUUCUCGAUCUCUAUAAAUAUUCUCUCCUUCAAAUACUUCCACAGAGCAUAACCCUCACAAUUCGAGCUAAAUAAUACAAAAAUAAAAAAGUAAAAAUAAGAUAAAAACUAAAAUAAAUUAAGGAUAAAUUGUUGAUCACGAAGAAUAAUUAAGGAUAUGUUUGGGGAUAAUCUUUUGAAGUGGUGCUUUGAAAUUGACAGAAAACGUUAUAGGUCACAAAAGUACUUUUUGGAGAAAUACUGGCUUCUUCAAAAAGCACUUCCAGGAUCGCUUGGUAGACCUCAGCAUGGUUCGAAGAAGUCGCAACUAGCAUUUGCUUGGUAGACCUCCUAGAUAUAGCGGUGUCUCCAAGGAUAAAGACACAACCUGUUUGAGAACGUGCCCUAUGUGAGUUAAACAUAUAUCCAGCAUCUGCGUAACCAAUAAGGCAAGAAUCAAUCCGAGGAACAUAGGGGGCGGUAACACUAAGAGAUUCGUGGGUAUAGAACAAGCCCAAAUCGGUUGUACCUUUGAGGUAGCGGAAAAUGUCUUUAACACCAUUCCAGUGCAUGGGUGUGGGCGCAUUGCUAUGUCUUGCCAAAAGAUUAACAGCGAAUGAGAUGUCAGGUCUAGUGCACUGAGCCAAGUACAAUAAAGCCUCAAUUGCACUUAGGUAAGGAAUUUCGGGUUCCAAAAUCUCUUCCUCGUCCUCAUUUGGAUGGAAGGGAUCUUGUUUAGCAUCUAGAGUCCGAAUGACCAUGGGUGUACUCGAAGGCUUCGCUUUAUCCUCAUUAAAACGACGCAUCACAUUUUUGGUGUAGUUCGAUUGACGCACCCAAACACCCGUAAACUCGAGACGUUAGGCUCGUACUGUAACGAUGAAUGUGGUUGAGUAGUGGUGGGCCUCAGGCGGACCAACAUAGCUGCGUGCAAUAUUGCAUUACCCCAGGUAGAUACUGGCAGUUUGGUUUGCAUAACCAAAGUCCGAGCGAUCAAUUGAAGGUGCUUUAUGAAAGCUUUUGCCUGGCCAUUUUGGGUGUGAACAUGGGAUACAUGAUGUUCCACAUCAAUCCCUACUGACAUGCAAUAAUCGGCAAAAGUUUAUGACGUAAACUCUCCAGCGUUAUCCAGUCGAAUCGACUUAAUCGGAUAAUCAGGGUGGUGAGCCCUUAGCUUAAUGAUUUGAGCUACGAGUUUAGCAAACACAGCGUAACCUGUGGACAACAGACAAACAUGUGACCAUCAUGUUGAUGCGUCAACCAACACCAUAAAAUAUUGAAAUGGUCAACAGGUUGGUUGGAUAGGUCCACAAAUGUCCAUUUGAAUCCUCUGAAAAAAUUUAAGAGGGUUGUGAAUAAUCUUUGUAUAUAAGGGUUGAGUAUUCAACUUCUCUAAAGAACACGCUUUGUAUGGCGAGAGUCCAACAUAAAGAUGUAACUUAUGCCUGUGUGAAGAUUUAAGGAUAUGACGCAUCAUGUCACGUCCAAGAUGUCCUAAACGGUCAUGCCAAAGCAACAAAGUGUCCUAGAACUCAAGCAUAAGGCCAGCCACACUAUGGGCGUCUAUGUCGCGAAUGGUUGUGAUGUACAAACCAUUCGGUAGACGUUCGAACUUCUCAUGAAUACACUUCUGGUCAUAUUCAUAUAAAGUGAUACAAAGAAAUUCAGAACCAUUAUCUUCAGUGGUUUCAAUAUGAUAUUUAUUAUCUCGAAUAUCUCUAAAACUCAGCAACAUUCUUUCGGAACAUGGAGAAUAGAGUCCCUCCUUAAUGGUCAAAAUUGUACCAUUAGACAACAUGAUACGUGUCUUUCCGUCUCCUUCAAUCAGGUUGGAUGGGCUUGAGAGAGUUGUCAAAUGAGCUUUCUUGCGUAUCAAGGUAGUAAAAUAGUGUUGUUCACACAAUAUGGUGUGCAUGGUUGCACUAUAUGCCAAACAACUAACUUCCCCACUAGACAUACCUAGAAAUAAAUUGAUUGAAUUGGUCACAUGCAUAAAUAUAAGUCCAUUCAUUCAAUUAAGUAAUUCGAGAAAAUAAUAUCCAUUCAAAUAACAAUCCAUAAUUCAAAACAAACCAAAACCAAACAAAUUAUUCCAAAUACUUGGAAAAAAUUGUUCAAAAUCAAACCAUAAACCUAGAAAAAUAGGGGGUAGGGCCGGCCACUCAUAAUGGGUUCGGCCACUAGGGAUAAACACCUUAAAAAAACAUGUCUAAUUUAUUCAUCCAUAGGCGCUGACGCCUCCUGAAAAUCCAAUAUCUCCAUUGAUGUAGUUGCAUCUUCCAGAUGAUCCACAUGUGUAAAGUUAGACCCAUGACGGGGAUGGUACUUGGUAAUAGCCUUAGGGGAAGCUUGGCAUAUGCGUGACCAAUGAUCCAUUGAUCCACAACGAUAGCACAUGUCCAGUUCAGUAAAAACGGCCUGAACGGGAGCUUUGCCCUUGUUUUUGAAGUUUGGGGCUUUAAGGGUGCGUGGUGGACGAUGCUGGGUCACAUUUAUUCCCUUAGGUGCGACACCUUGUUAACCUUGGGCCCUUGGUGGGGCUUGCAGCCCAUUGCCACGGCCACGACGAUUCUUUCGUCAUUUAUGGCUCCUAAAAUGUGUCGCAUGCGCUUCUGGAGCGAUGUUCGAGCCAGUGGGUCGAGAUUGAUGAUUCUUCAUCAAAAGCUGGUUAUGCUUUUUAGCGAUAAGUAAAAUAGAGAUCAAAUAUGAAAACUUGGUGAAUUUAUGUGCCUUAUAUUGUUGUUGCAGGACAAUAUUAGUGGCAUGGAAGGUCGAAUAGGUCUUCUCUAGGAGAUCUGAUUCGGUUAGUUCCAUUUUGCAGAAUUUCAAUAGUGAGCGGAUUCGACAAAUUUCAAAGUUGUAUUCUGUAGACAUCGAAAUUUCGGUGAAAUAAAUGUUGAUCAAUAAUUAAAAUUUCAACGUUCACGUGUCACAUAAAUUUUACACAUAGCAAGUGACUUAACGAAAAAUCGAGAAUCAUCAGAAAAGUCAUCAAACAGGACAUGUGUCAACACUUGGCAGAAACGAUUUAUUUCAUCUGAAUAAUAUAUUCAAAAUUAGGCUUUGGAAAAUUCUAUAAAUAGAAGCCAUUUCAUUCAUUUUAGGGGGGAAUUCAGAACCAAGGGAAUUGAUAAUCAAUUCAUAACCCAUUCACCUCACACCAAAACCUUGAAGCUUUGAAACUCCAAAGCUCCCAAGCAAAUCCAGAAAGAUCAAGAAAGCUCUCUUCGUUUUUCGUCAACCCAACCUUCAAGAUCAAGCCCCAACGACCCUUUGAAGGAACUUCCACCAAUUCAAGAUCAAGCCCUGAUGACCCUUGAAGAAAGUGUUCAUCGUUCAUCAUUCGUUCAUCCUAAGAUUAAGCCCCAACGACCCUUUGGAUCAACAACAUCAACAAAUCCACACAUCCAACCAUUCUUCAAGAUAAAGCCCAAAAGCCCUUGAAGAUCUAUUCAUCAACUAUUCAUCAAGAUCAAGCCCCAAAGGCCCUUGAAGAUCCAUUCAUCAACAGUUCUUCAAGAUCAAGCCCAAAAGCUCUUGAAGAUCCAUCCAUCAACUGUUCAUCAAGAUCAAGCCCCAAAGGCCCUUGAAGAUCCGUUCAUCAACAGUUCUUCAAGAUCAAGCCCAAAAGCCCUUGAAGAUCCAUCCAUCAACUGUUCAUCAAGAUCAAGCCUCAAAAGCCCCUUGAAGAUCCGUUCAUCAACAGUUUUUCAAGAACAAGCCCAAAACCCCUUGAAGAUCCGUUCAUCCAUCAACCUUUCAAGAUCAAGCCCAAAAAGGCCCCUUGAAGAAACUUCCAACCAUUCAUCCAAGAUCAAGCCUCAACGGCCCUUGGUUCAUCACAAUCCACAAAUCAACACCUUACGGAGAUCAAAUCAGAGGAUCAAGUUAUAAAGAGAUUGUAACCCCUAAAUCAUUAAUAUAAAUAUUAUUUUGUACACAUUUGUUCUUGUCUCGUUCAUUUCAGGAAUUUCUGUGUUUACAAAUUUGGCACGCUUAGUGGGACAAUCUCUACCUCUCAUCUUUUUGUCCGUUCAAGGAAUCCAAACACACCUCAAAGUCAAUGGCAUUAAGCAAGAGACAAGUUGUUCUUUCAACACCAAGAGAAGGAUCCUGAGCAUUGCUGCCGUGAACGGACAAUCCAUUGGCGCCACAACCGCUCCUCAACAUGCCAUUUCAAAGUUGGUGCUGCUAAAGGAGCAAGGAGAGCAUCAAAAGCGUGAGUCCGUCAUCAACCUGACCUCGCUGGGGGCACCGAAUCAUGCUGCUGAGGUACAUAAGAUGACAUCCCAAAGCAGCCAACGACGUUCUUCGUUAGCAUCCUGGAUGUCUAAAGGAAAGUCACGUAUAUUGGUUGCACAAGUCAUGACCAUCGGCGUUACCUCUGUUGAAGAACAACUGGCUCAAAUGAAUGAAGCGAUCGCAAGGCUAACACAGAUUGUGGAAGAAAAAGACUUGCAAAUCGCUGCACUCAUCAGCCGACUAGAGCCACAUGACGGCGAGAACUCCGACCCAGAGGAUGAUUCACUAAAAAGAGAAGCUGGCGAAGAAGAUGAGCCUUCAGUGGAGAAAAUCGAUGUGAAGCCAAAGCCAGACCAAGCAGCGGCACUCAUGGGAUCUCUUUCUAUCCAGUAGCUGUAAGAGAUGAUCACCAACACCAUCAAGGCGCAGUACGAAGGGAGCUCACACACCUCAUUGUUCUACUCAAAGCCAUACUCCAAUAAGAUUGAUGCCCUGAAGAUGCUAAGGGGUUAUCAACCACCAAAGUUUAUGCAGUUUGAUGGAAAAGGAAACCCAAAGCAGCACGUUGCACAUUUCGUUAAAACUUGCAACAACACGGGAACGGAGGGAGACUACCUUGCCAAGCAGUUUGUGCGCUCGCUGAAAGGAAACGCCUUUGAGUGGUACACAGACCUAGAGCCUGAGUCCAUCAACAACUGGGAGCAAUUGGAAAGAGAAUUCCUUAACCGCUUCUACAGCACCCGCCGCACUGUAAGCAUGCUGGAGCUGACAAGUACGAAGCAAUGGAAAAAUGAGCCAGUCGUGGACUAUAUCAACCGAUGAUGCACUCUAAGUCUUGACUGCAAAGAUAGACUUUCGGAGACCUCAUCGAUCGAGAUGUGUGUUUAAGGCAUGCAGUGGGGAUUACACUACAUCCUUCAAGGCAUCAAACCACGGACCUUUGAGAAGUUAGCCACCUGCGCCCAUGACGUGGAGUUGAGCAUCGCCCAUCAUGAGAAGAAAGAACCGAUCGUCGACUACAAGAACGAUAAAGCUCUUGGGACAAAUGUGGAGAAGGCUGCGUGGAAAUCCACCAAGGAAGCAAUGACGGUCAACACAGCUCCGUCAAAAUCUCUACACGAGGCAAGGCGAUUCAAGCCGAAGCUUUUCAUAAUCAAGAGAUGCGUAGACGUAUUUUGAAUGAGCUCGAGGAGAAAACUUAUCCAUUCCCCGACUCUGAUGUGGUUGCCAUGUUGAAAGACUUGCUUGACAAAAAGGUGAUCGACCUACCUGAGUGCAGACGGCCGGAAAAGAUGAAUCAUACUGAUAGUCCAAGGUACUGUAAAUUCCACCGUUUCAUCAGUCAUCCAACGGAAAAGUGCUUCGUACUGAAAGAUUUCAUCCUGAAGCUAGCACAACAAGGGAAAAUCGAGCUUGACCUCGAAGACACGGUUGCGGCACACACUACUACUAUCGUGUUUGGAUCACUCGAUCCUGUGCAUCUCUGAAGCAUGCAUGACCAUUCCCGUCAAUGUUCAAGUCACACGGCACCUCCUACACAACCAUCACCGAGGGUAAGCAACCAAGAUGCAUCUACUGGUGAUAAGGAAGGGUGGACAUCGACGACCUACAAAAAAAUGAGGAAGCCAAAACCACAAGCCACAAGGCCAAAAGAGGAGCCUAAACCAGCCCCUCGAACUUCAGUCUUCGACAGGCUGAAUUAUUCAAAACCUAGAAUUUCGGCACUUGAUCGCAUCAGUGGUCGAGACCGAACUUCCAUCUUCAAAAGGCUUGAGACGCCAACACCACAAAGAUCUGUCUUUGAAAGGUUAUCAAAACCCAAGAAACAAAGCGGCACAGCUAGAUCUCCUCCGCAACGGUCGGCUUUGGACAGACUUGAAGAAACUAAGAAGCCUUCUAGAAAUAGGAAGACAACGCCAAAGGGAGAAAAGCUCCACAAUUUAGCAGGAAAAGACGAUGUUCAAAGCUUGAUUCCUUUAAGGAUGAUGCGCCAAGCAACUUUGGAAGUCGACACAAAAGGACCACUGAAGGUAAGGAGGUGCACCAUCAUCUACACCGGCCAAUCUUCACGGCAACAAACCCAAGAGAACCGCACUGAAGAGUAGGCCCAAGAAGACAAAGAAGACGAAAUCUCGGAAGAAGACGUCACUUCCGGCUCUGUGAACUUAAAAUCUUCAUCUCAAUCGCUGGGGGCAUGCUCCAAAACCAUGCCAGUCAAGCUAAGUGAAGUUGAAGGAUGGACUCAUGUCACUCCAAAGAAACUGCACAAGAAGCAUAUGUCUUCUCCACAAGUGCACCAAUCGGAAAGGGGGCAAAGCAGCUUUCGCCAACCUCCAAAGCGAUGUGAAAGUGUUGAAGAUGAGGAAAUUUCGACACAAAGAUCGACCAUGCGCAAUCUCUUCUUCCUCAGAAAAUUAUUCAGCUACUCGGUCAAGGCUCAUUGCUAUAAAGAUUGCGAUGAACGCCUCUCCAGGCAGCAAUGAUGCGUAAAAUAACUAAACACACAAAUUAAACCCUCUUUUUAUCAAAUGUAGUAAAGUAUGUAAGUAGGGAUCGUUCUAGGCCGGGGAUUAGGAGGGAUUGCUAAACACUUGAAAACUGACUUAAAAACAUAAAAACAAAAUUUAAAACACUAAACUAGACUCAAAGAAUGCAAAACUAUACUUUAAAAUACUUAAACAAACAUAAAACUCAAAACAGCAACCUAAUGACUCAAAACUGCCUAAAAACCACUUUCUGGGCAGUUUUGAGAACCUAACAAGAACUUGGACGAAGUUGUAUGAAAACUUGAAUCAAAACACUUAGAAACACAAAUCAAAACACUUUCUAACUAAUCUAAGACUUCAAAAUAAAGGGGGAUUUGUUUUGGACGAAAAUUGAAAACAAAACAGAAACUUUAAAACAAAAUAGAUUGUAAAACGUUUUUGGAUGAAAAUGAUGGAUAAAAGGCUAGUUAGGAGGUUCUUCUCCACACAUGACACACUUGCAAACAAAAUGAUUUUCAGUUGUUCUUUCAAUAAAUUAUGAAACUCAACACCCCAAGUUAAUUAGAUACGCUUAAAUUAACCUUCAAGUUCUCCUUAAGUUAAUGAAUUGGAUGGAAAAGCGCAUACAACAAUUCAAAGCAUUCCUCAAAGGUUCCUUACGUGAUGAGCACAAUAAAAGAUACAAUCAAGAAUCAUGAAGCACAAUGAGAACUAUAAGUGUUGACGAGGCAUUCGUUACUAUGAUAAGCAUGAAACUAGUGCCAAGAAUUCAUUCAACGCGAUCGUUUUCAAGCGACCUUCACUACUUGUGAUUAUAAGAUUGUAACUAUUAGGUGAAACUCCCUCAUAAUCUAGCAUCAUAUUCAUGCAUGAAAACUAAGCGUGCACUCUCAAUCAACAUACACAAAUAAGUUAUCAAUCAAGUAGAUGAACGAAUUGAAUCCGCAACUUAUGAAAUAACAACUGAAUGUAAUCAAAUCAUAUCAUAUUGCAAGCAUGUACAUGGUUUCGAAUCACCCCCCAACUAAGGGGGUUUAGUUCCUCAUUCUUGCAAUACAAAAGAUACAUAAAAUUAGACAUUAAAAUCAAAGGAAAGAAAACACCUAAAAUGCUCCAACUUGGAAAGCAAGUGCAUCAAUGGAUCUCCCUUCCUCCAUGUUGCGGCAUGAAGCUUGUGGACAGAUUUUUGGGUGGAUUUAUGGUGUAGAAUGGAUGGGGAAUGAUAUGGAGGGGUUUAGGGUGAGUGUGGAAGAGUGUUUGAUGGUUGGAAGGUGGUGGAGAACUAGGCAAAGAGGGUGGAAGAAGGUGGAGUGGCUGUUAUGUUUUCUAGGCACUAGAAUGGUGUUUUUGGGGUGUUUUGCUUCCUAGGGUGUGUAUGGACGAAUUUCUGUGAUAAAAUGAUGAAUAUGGGGGAUUGUCCUUUGGCCAAGGGGUGUAAACAUGUAUUUAUAGGCCCCAAAAACCUUAGAAAAUCAGGUUAGGUUAAGGAUGAAAUGCAUGGUAAUUUGUGUGUGUGGUGUGCAAUGGUCCAAGGGUGAAAAUGAAGUGAUGAUGCAAAGUGUGAAGGGUAAAAUGGAGUGGUCUUGAAGCUAGGGAGCAUGAAUGAUUGUGUACAUUGCAUAGAGAUGGAAAGGGAGGUGAAAAUGUGUCAAUAAAUGGGUCAAAGGUGCAGCAACAUGUGGUACACAAGGCAUGGGAUUCUAAAUGUGAAUGAUGGAGCAUCAAUUGGUGCAUGUAAUGGAUGUAAAUGUUGUCUAAAAUCUAAUGAGUGAAGGGAACAAGAGGUAACAAAGCAAUUGAGUGUAAUAAUUAAAUGAAUUGAAGCAUGAAAUUAAAAAUUAUGUAGGGGACAAGAGUGAUCAAGCAUGGCAUGGAAUCCAAAGGGAAUUCUAUGUGGUUUUGCAUGGCAAGGAAUGCAAGUUGGGGUGACAGAUUUUUGGGCUAUUUUCUUCAUCUUUUGGACCAUAAUUCUUCAUAUUCUUGGCCUCUUUAGUUCUCAAAUUCGUCCAUCCACUUGGCCCAUGCAUUUGCUAACCAUUCCAAGCCCGAAACAUGCUCCAAAGGCCUCCAAAAUGCAUCUUCUUGCAUACUUUGUACUUAGAGUCUGAAAACACAUGAAAAUGACUUUAAACAUUAAAAUAACUAAGGAAACACGACAUAAAUGCACAAGAACAAGCCAACUAAGUCACAUAAAUAUGCUCCUAUCAAAUUCCCCCACACUUAGCUUUUGCUAGUCCUCGAGCAAAACAAAGAGAUAAAACGAAACAAAACAAAUAAAACACAACCUAAACCUUCCAACAUUUGCCUCAGGGAUUUCCAAUGCACAUGACAUGUUAAAAAUCAUUAUCCCCACAGAUUUGAGUCAUCUUCACACUUAAGCACGUACUUAAUCAUAGUCACCACUUACUUGUUCACAAUUAAUCGAUUAAAAUAACGUUUUUGAUGUAGUAACAUGCCUUAGAAAAAUCACUCAAUUCCUUACAAGAUAUGCACUCAAUUUUCACUCAGAUUUUCUAACUACACACCCUAUACUAGUUAUAUGUGAGAAGAUUGAUGUAGAUAUGAAAACGAACGCUCACAUAUAUGUAUCACAAAGAAAGCAAUUUCUGGAGUUAAUAAGCAUGUUUAGAUAUGAUCUCAUGAAUGGAAUGCUACUACUUAGAUGCGAGAACCAGUGACACCAUAUGCUCAUACCAAAUUCAAACUCCACAUAUUGAAACGCAUGACACUCAAGAUGAAGUUAAGGGUUGUAACGGGGCUUGGGGUGAUGGCUAACAAAUGAAGGAUAAGGAUAACAAUCGUUCUUAAAGCAAUAGCAAGUAAAGUAAUGAAAUUGAAACUUAGAAUUCACUUAGAUUGCAGAAAUCAGCUUUUAGACACGAAGGGAAAAUUCAAGCAAUAAUUAGGGCCGAAUUCUAUGUUUUGGACCCUUUCUUCAACAAGCAGCACUUUAAAACUCUUUUUUUUUUUUUUUUUUUUUUUUUUUUUUUCAACUCUUCUUUUCUUUUCAACAAGCAUAAUAACUCACACUUCCCCCACACUUGUUUUCUGCCAUACAUUAAUCAAAAGAAAUUCAAUUUGAAUCAUGUUUUACUAUGCUUCAAGAACAAGGGUAUGGAUGGUCCUAAACUAGGCUAGGUAAGGAUAAUGUGGUUUAACAAAGAAUGUAGGCUAUCAAGGCUCAAUGGGGUUAACUUAAACAUAUAACGAUAUGGGAUACAUGGCAGUUUGGCUUUGGUGGUGGUAACUACACAACUUCAUCUUGAAUAUGUUUUAUGCAAAUCAAUAGCAUGCUUUGAAUGAAAUAGGCAUGAGUUCUAGCAUUUGGAACUAAAUGAUGAAACGCCUUCUAAGUAAUAACCAAGCAAAGAAUAAUGAGAUCAUGCAACGACUUUAGAAAACAAGAAUGCACAGAUUUUAACUCUCCAAAUAAACGUUUAAGCUCAAGUCUCACAAGGCUGUAGCGUUAGUUUGAGUUCUUUCCUUUAAGCAUGUUACAAAAACUAAUUUUUUUUCUUUUAUGAUUACAUGUGAUUUCAUAAGUUAUAACCACAACCACGCAUAAAGAGUAAAUCAAACUUUCAUCCAUGUUUAUAACUCUCUUUAACAGUCAUGCAAUUACAAACUGAAUCCUCAUCAUUGUGUUGGAAGGUACCCUAAGACACAAAUAAGCGCACAAAAACAACUCUUUUUUUUUAUUUUCAAAAACAAUUUUUUCAAAUUUUUAUGAAUUUUCGGAUUUUUUAUGUCAAAACACACUGAAACACUCCAAAACAGCUUAAAAAAAAGUACUUAAAACAACAAGGAACAACACUAGAAGUAAUGGGUGAUAAAUUUCUACGAAUUUCAUGCAAAACAAUGGUUACCCCCCCACACUUAAAUCAAACAUUGUCCUCAAUGUUUCAAGCAUAUACUCACACCAAAAACAAGCAAAUAAUAAACGACAAAUAAACAUGACAAAUAUGGCAAAGUAAAAACCAGACAGAGUAGAGUUUAAGAACGCAAAUCUGGUUUUGGAGAUAGUUGAUCUUGUUGACUUUCCACAGCUUUGAUCUUGAACGGGGUGAUGUUGCAGUUCCUUAUUUGUUCUCCAAGCAGAUGUGGCAGCUUCUCUAGUUCUUCAGCUCGGACUCCUUGUGCUGGGUUAAUUGUACGAGCUGCAUUCUUCUCUGCUUGUUUCUUCUGUACGUUGUCUCCACAUGCUGCUGGUAUCAUUUUCGCUUGCCUUAUCUGUUCUUCAGCAGGUAGAUGUGGCAGCUUCUUUGGAAGUACAUCAGCAGUGGAAGACGAGUACUCGAGAGCAAUUUCUCCAUGUCCUGCAGGUUAGAACAAAGACAAGGAAAAGGACAUGGAGAAUGCAUGAUAUGAGAUACUCUUGCUUUCAACCUUUAUGAUAUGAAAUACUUUUGCUCUGGAUGGGUUGUUUGCAGGGGUAUCCCAGGGAAUGAGAAAUACAGAGUGACUUGAGAGGGUGUGUUGGAAAUACAUUCUCGGAGAUGAAGAAGUGCUGAGAGGGGUGUGCCUUUGCUGUGGAAGGCGAAGGUAGAUACUUAUAGGACUUUUCUUCACAACCGGAACUAUUCCCUCACUCAUUGUCGGCAGCCGGUGGAUGGAUGAAUAGUACAAAUUACGCGCUUUCUGACAAAGCUGCCCGUAAUUUCCGCAAAGCUGCCCGUAAUUUCCGCAAAGCUGCCCGUUGCAUGUGACGAGUGACGACACGUCUGGACAAUUUGAUCUUUUGAAAUUCGGUGUUCGGCUCGUGGUUUCUGAGCAAGCCCAGCCUUUAAGAAAUGAAACGCCUCUUUUGAGAAAAGAAUCUGACUUUUGAGAAAGGAGCCCCGACUCUUCGAUUUGCGAGAGGACGCUUCUCUGAGGAGCGCCUCUUUGAUUUCUUCUUUUUAUAGAGGCGUUAAUUUUGUUCCACAACACACUUGAGCUCCCUCCUGUAAACACUCCCUUCUUGCACUUGUUUAAUCUUGAUCAGUCCUCCUCUCUUCUUUCUUCACCACCUCUGAAAAUGUCUGGCCCUUCCGAUCGUCGUUUUGACUUGAACAUUGGUGAAGAGGCAGCUCCACCUUCACCAAACAACAUAUGGCGCCCAUCCUUCAUAUCCCCUACCGGUCCCCUCACCGUUGGGGAUUCGGUGAUGAAAAAUGACAUGACCGCUGCGGUGGUGGCCCGGAACCUUGUCACCCCCAGAGAUAACAGACUGCUCGCUAGACGGUCUGAUGAAUUGGCGGUUAAGGAGUCUCUGGCUCUUAGCGUGCAGUGUGCGGGUUCUGUGUCCAACAUGGCCCAACGCCUAUUUGCUCGAACCCGUCACGUUGAAUCGUUGGUGGCUGAAGUACAGAGUCUCAAAGAGGAGAUUAGAGGACUCAAGCAUGAAAAUAAACAAUUGCAUAAGCUUGCACACAACUAUGCCACAACCAUGAAGAGGAAAAUUGACCAGCUGCAGGAAACUGAUGGUCAGAUUUUACUUGAUCACCGGAGGUUUGUGGGUUUGUUCCAACCGCAUCUGCCUUCGUCUUCUGGGGUGGCACUGCGUAGUGAAGCUCCAACUGAUCAACCUCUGAUACCUCAUCUUUCCGUGGCCCCACCGACUGCUGAGACUCCGCCGACUACUGCAACUCCGCCGACUACUGCGACCUCUCCCAAGCAGCCUUUGUGAAGGCUCUUCCUCUUGUAUUAUGUUAUGUUUCUUUAUUUCCCAGAUUCCUGUUCAUUUCAUGAAGUUUAAUGUAAAAAAUCCCUUGCAUAUUUGUUAAUAUUUCAAAAUAGAAAAUCAUAACCAAAAAUAAUUAAACACGUAAUAAAAUUGACAAUCAAGCAGAAUAAAUGGGUUGCCUCCCUUAAAGCGCUUGCUUUAACGUCUUCCAGCCGGACGAUGAACACCUUCACUUCUCCUUGGAACCCACGACAUGUAGUGGGAUCUCCUCCACAACAUGCUCCACAAAGUUCUCGUAGAUUACAUCCUUGAACGGAAAUGGAUAGUGAUGUUUGUUGAUGGGUGCGUUGUGUUGCCUAAGGUUCAUGUUCAUACGCCCACCAUCGGGGAUUUGCUUGGGUACCUGCACCAAAGAAGGGAACCACCUAUCAACUUUAAAUGGCAUUGGAUUUGGAUUAGGUGGCUUACCUAUGUGAUGUGAUGAAGUGGCAGUAAUGUGAACAUUCUUCCCCAUGGUGCCUUCGGCCACUUUGAGCAUUUUGAGGGCAGUGGCCGUAUGGUCCUUGUACUCCACUCCAAUUCCCUCGUCUUGCAUGGUUCUUGAUGCAUCCUUCGUGCUUGGUGCUGAAUGGUCCGGUCUUAUCUUUUCAAUUUUACCAAUGGCACAACAAGAAUGAACAAUAUUAGGAGUCUCAAUGGAUUCAGAAAUUUUAAAACUAAUCAUGUCACCACCAAAUGCCAUAGUGACUAAUCCUUUGGCCACGUCAAUCUUCGUUUGAGCCGUUUUCAUGAAUGGCCUUCCAAGGAGAAUGGGCAAUGAAGGGGCAUGGUCUGAUUCAUCCAUUUCGAGGACAUAGAAAUCCGCUGGGAAGACUAAAUGAUCAACCUGCACUAAAACGUCUUCCAAAACUCCCUUUGGAUAAGCGUUAGAUCUAUCGGCCAAUUGUAUGAUUACACCAUCAUGUUUAAGUGCUCCUAGAUUCAUAGAUGCAUACACAGAAUAUGGCAUAACAUUAAUAGAUGCUCCUAAAUCUAGCAUGGCAGAUUUGAAACGGGUAUUACCAAUGACACAUGGAAUUGUAAAACUUCCCGGGUCUUUGCAUUUGGGGGGUAGUUUAUGUUGCAAGAUGGCGGAGACAUUCUCACUUACAUGUACCACUUUCUUUCUCCCGGACACGACACGUUUCUUUGUUGUACAAAGCUUCUUUAAACACUUGGCAUACUUCGGGAUUUGCUUUAUGGCAUCAAGGAGGGGAAUGUUGACAUGCACCUUUCUAAAUGUCUCUAGAACAUCUUUUUCCUCCUCUUCGUUCUUUGAUUGCAAAAAUCUGCUAGGAAAGGGGACAUUGGGCAGAUUAGUAUUCGAAAUCACAACAUUUGGAACAUUCUUACCUGAGGUGGACGGAUGGGAUGUCUUAGAUGGCUGCGGCAUGGGUGAUGGUACCCUUGCCGUGGGGUAGGUGUUCUCAUCUUCUUCGAGUUGUAUCUUCUCAUCUUCCUUGUUUCUCUCACCUCUUUUCCACUUCGUAAUGUGAUAGCCUUUGCAGAUUCGAAGCCACCCUUUGGAUUGACCACCGUAGUGCUUGGUAACUUACCAUUUUCACGGAAUUGCCCCAAAAAUUCGGCCAUUUGGCCCCAUUUGCUUCUUCAGCUCAUUAACCUCCUUUGCUUGGUUCUGCAUUCCCUGCGCCAUGGUGGUUAGUAACUGAUAUGUUUUAUCAUCAUUCAUAGACGUACCUGGGUUAGUUUGGGAAGAUUGUGCCUGAGGAGGUGGUUGUGGUUCCAUUGGCCUUGGAAAGAAACUCGGGGGUUGUUGGAAUCCACUUUGUUGGCCAUAUUGUGGUGCAUCUCUCCAUCUGAAAUUGGGGUGAUCACGCCAUCCCGGGUUGUAUGUAUUGGAGAAAGGAUCAUUCCUUGGUUGGUUUUGAUUCCCAUAACCCACAGCAUUGGCCGAUUCCCAUCCUCCAUUCUCAAUUAAUUUAGGGCAUUGAUCAGAUUGGUGUCCUUGAAUGGAGCAUACACCACAGAUUGUAGUUCCUUGCGUUUUGGGGCCUUCAACCAACUGCGAUAACAUAGACGUAAGGUUAGCCAUUUGGGAUUGUAACUCAGAAAUAGAACUUACCUCAUUGACAUGAUGUGGCCGUGGGGUGUCUCUUUGCCCAACACCUUCAUAUUGUUGUGCAUUGAGUGCUCGAUUCGCAAUGAGAGUUUUGGCAUCCCUAGGUGUCUUAUCCACUAGAGCUCCUCCCGCGGAAGCAUCCAACAUUUUGCCGUUCAAGUGGUAAAAGACCUUCGUAAAAGUAUUGAAGAAGUAACUCCUCCUUCAUCUGAUGCUGUGGACAAGAAGCAACAAGUGAUUUAAAUCGUUCAUAAUAAGAUGGAAAAGAUUCACCUUGGCUUUGCUGAAUUCCACUUAUUUUUUUACGAAGAAGAAUGAUGCGAGAAGUUGGGAAAAACUUCUCCAGAAACGCCCUCUUCAUACUCUCCCAAGAUGUAACUGUACCGGGAGCCAACUCGUAUAACCAAUCCUUGGCUUUGUCCAUUAAAGAGAAUGGAAAAGCCUUCAUCUUUAAAAUACUUCCGUCAACGGUAACUGGAGUCAUACUUGAGCAUACCACUUCAAAUUCCUUCAAAUGUUUGUUCGGAUCCUCCAUGGACAGCCCAUGGAACUUUGGAAUGUGGUGGAGCAAACUUGACUUUAACUCGAACUCUUCAGUUUUACCUUGAGCAGCCAUGGGAUAUUGGAUACACAAUGGUGCGGCAUUAUCCAAACCCGAGGCGGCAAGCUCCUUGAGCGUACGGUUGUCCAUGGCUAUACCUUGCUCUUCUCCACCCACUUGUGUCGUGGCCUUCUCUUCAACCUCAACUUCUUGCUCUUCUAAUUCAGGCUCGGGACUAGGAGGAUUAGACUCUUGCAAUUUCUUUUUCCUUCUCAAAGUCCUCUCAAAAUCACCGUCAAAGUCGGAGAUAUGCUCACGAACAGGUUGUGAGCUACGGGUCAUAAACUAGUACCUAAAAACAAAGAAAACAAAACAAAUCAGCAACUUAAACAGAAACUUAAACAAAAUACAAUAAUUCGAAAGAAAACAAUCCAAGAGAUUAGCAAAGUUGCUAAUCCCCGGCAGCGGCGCCAAAAUUUGAUGCGAAAUAUAUAAGCACACAAAUUAAACCCUCUUUUUAUCAAAUGUAGUAAAGUAUGUAAGUAGGGAUCGUUCUAGGCCGGGGAUUAGGAGGGAUUGCUAAACACUUGAAAACUGACUUAAAAACAUAAAAACAAAAUUUAAAACACUAAACUAGACUCAAAGAAUGCAAAACUAUACUUUAAAAUACUUAAACAAACAUAAAACUCAAAACAGCAACCUAAUGACUCAAAACUGCCUAAAAACCACUUUCUGGGCAGUUUUGAGAACCUAACAAGAACUUGGACGAAGUUGUAUGAAAACUUGAAUCAAAACACUUAGAAACACAAAUCAAAACACUUUCUAACUAAUCUAAGACUUCAAAAUAAAGGGGGAUUUGUUUUGGACGAAAAUUGAAAACAAAACAGAAACUUUAAAACAAAAUAGAUUGUAAAACGUUUUUGGAUGAAAAUGAUGGAUAAAAGGCUAGUUAGGAGGUUCUUCUCCACACAUGACACACUUGCAAACAAAAUGAUUUUCAGUUGUUCUUUCAAUAAAUUAUGAAACUCAACACCCCAAGUUAAUUAGAUACGCUUAAAUUAACCUUCAAGUUCUCCUUAAGUUAAUGAAUUGGAUGGAAAAGCGCAUACAACAAUUCAAAGCAUUCCUCAAAGGUUCCUUACGUGAUGAGCACAAUAAAGAUACAAUCAAGAAUCAUGAAGCACAAUGAGAACUAUAAGUGUUGACGAGGCAUUCGUUACUAUGAUAAGCAUGAAACUAGUGCCAAGAAUUCAUUCAACGCGAUCGUUUUCAAGCGACCUUCACUACUUGUGAUUAUAAGAUUGUAACUAUUAGGUGAAACUCCCUCAUAAUCUAGCAUCAUAUUUCAUGCAUGAAAACUAAGCGUGCACUCUCAAUCAACAUACACAAAUAAGUUAUCAAUCAAGUAGAUGAACGAAUUGAAUCCGCAACUUAUGAAAUAACAACUGAAUGUAAUCAAAUCAUAUUGCAAGCAUGUACAUGGUUUCGAAUCACCCCCCAACUAAGGGGGUUUAGUUCCUCAUUCUUGCAAUACAAAGAUACAUAAAAUUAGACAUUAAAAUCAAAGGAAAGAAAACACCUAAAAUGCUCCAACUUGGAAAGCAAGUGCAUCAAUGGAUCUCCCUUCCUCCAUGUUGCGGCAUGAAGCUUGUGGACAGAUUUUUGGGUGGAUUUAUGGUGUAGAAUGGAUGGGGAAUGAUAUGGAGGGGUUUAGGGUGAGUGUGGAAGAGUGUUUGAUGGUUGGAAGGUGGUGGAGAACUAGGCAAAGAGGGUGGAAGAAGGUGGAGUGGCUGUUAUGUUUUCUAGGCACUAGAAUGGUGUUUUUGGGGUGUUUUGCUUCCUAGGGUGUGUAUGGACGAAUUUCUGUGAUAAAAUGAUGAAUAUGGGGGAUUGUCCUUUGGCCAAGGGGUGUAAACAUGUAUUUAUAGGCCCCAAAAACCUUAGAAAAUCAGGUUAGGUUAAGGAUGAAAUGCAUGGUAAUUUGUGUGUGUGUGUGGUGUGCAAUGGUCCAAGGGUGAAAAUGAAGUGAUGAUGCAAAGUGUGAAGGGUAAAAUGGAGUGGUCUUGAAGCUAGGGAGCAUGAAUGAUUGUGUACAUUGCAUAGAGAUGGAAAGGGAGGUGAAAAUGUGUCAAUAAAUGGGUCAAAGGUGCAGCAACAUGUGGUACACAAGGCAUGGGAUUCUAAAUGUGAAUGAUGGAGCAUCAAUUGGUGCAUGUAAUGGAUGUAAAUGUUGUCUAAAAUCUAAUGAGUGAAGGGAACAAGAGGUAACAAGCAAUUGAGUGUAAUAAUUAAAUGAAUUGAAGCAUGAAAUUAAAAAUUAUGUAGGGGACAAGAGUGAUCAAGCAUGGCAUGGAAUCCAAAGGGAAUUCUAUGUGGUUUGCAUGGCAAGGAAUGCAAGUUGGGGUGACAGAUUUUUGGGCUAUUUUCUUCAUCUUUUGGACCAUAAUUCUUCAUAUUCUUGGCCUCUUUAGUUCUCAAAUUCGUCCAUCCACUUGGCCCAUGCAUUUGCUAACCAUUCCAAGCCCGAAACAUGCUCCAAAGGCCUCCAAAAUGCAUCUUCUUGCAUACUUUGUACUUAGAGUCUGAAAACACAUGAAAAUGACUUUAAACAUUAAAAUAACUAAGGAAACACGACAUAAAUGCACAAGAACAAGCCAACUAAGUCACAUAAAUAUGCUCCUAUCAAGCAACCAUCUCUUCCACAAGUUCACCAAUGGGAAAGGGGGCAAAGCAGCUCCUGUCAACCUCUAGAACAAUGUGAAAGUGUUGGAGAUAAUGAAACUCUGACACAAAGAUCAUCCAUCCCCAUCACGAUGCAUGACAUCUUCCCAGAAGACUUCUUCAACUACUUAGUCAAGGCUCCUUGCUAUGAAGAUUGCGAGGAACGACUCUCCCGGAUCGCUUGACGAACCAACAAAGCUCUUCGACUACACGAGUUUAAACUACACGACACCACGCUCCUAGUUUGCACGAGCAUAAAAGGCAACACCAAAGCUCUUAGUCUGCAUGAGCAUAAAAGGCAACACCAAAACGCUCCUGGUUUACACGAGCAUAAAAGGCAACACCAACGCUCUUGGCCCGCAAAAGCAUAAACUGUGUACGACAAAAUCAUCAUCAAAAUCACCAUUAAAACCAUCCAAAAAAAAUAUCCAUCGCUCAUUUGAACUACGUUAUGACUUGAUCUUUUCAUAGGAAGGGUACGUAGGCAUCUCGAACAUUCAACUUCGAGUUCAGUCACAUCAAAAUAAAGAAUAAGAAUUUUUUUAUGUUAUUACAAUUUCUUUGUACAAAAUUAAAUUACAGUUUCUUCGAAAAAAAAAUGAAUACAUAUGUUAUUAUGUAUUUACAAAAAAAAAAAAAAAAAAAGAAAUAAUAUAUAUGUAUGAGUGUCUCGGCCCAGCAGUAACAAAAGGUUCAAGCCACAAGCCGCAAGCCCAAUUUGGUUUUUCAUAUGAGAAGAAGCCCAAACCAAGACCUCUUCAAAGCUGCGGAUACAAUCACCGGUGCUAGCCCGAGUCCGAGCCCACAGUGAAAAUGGAAGUUUUUUCAGAGGUUGUUGCCGGCAAUUCCGUCGGAAACUUCAACGCCGCAAUCUCCUACAGAGUUCCUCUGUCCAAUCCCUGGCUCUCUGAUAACUCCCGUGGCCUAUACUCGACUCCAAGCUGGUCCAACCCAAAGCUUCCUCGAGUCCUACAAGCCAUUGCGUGUUCAACAGCCUCAACUCGCCGUUCGAUCCGCGGACCCGACCCGAAAUGGAGAGAAGCACUCCGGUGAGGAAACCCUACACACCCAUUGUCGAUCUGCUAACCUAGUCCGAGACUUCACUCAUCUUCAUCUCCAGUCAGUGCGGCGGACUCUCUCCUCCUCACCAACCUCGGCGCCGACGCCAUAUAUGACACCUGUCGCAAGUCCCUCGUCACCAUAAAGCUCCUCCCUUUCCGUCUGCUAUUUUCUCCCGAUUUGACUCGGUCACGAAGCUCGCACUUUGAUACGAUCUCAAAUCGAUCAGCCUGGAACGCCACCGAGAAUCUCUACUCCUACUUCGUUCGGUUCCUGAAGGCCACAACAAUUUCCUCUUCUUCUUUGAGACCACUAUGCUUGCCUUUGAAAAUCAACGCGGCGCCUCUCUGCGAGCUUAACAUGCUCAAGAACCUUACUGGGUCUGAAAUGGCUAGAGCUCUCGGUGGCUUCAAUACACAUGCCAGCGACAUCGUCUCUGCAAUCUACAUCGCCGCCUACCAAAACCCAGCUCAGAAUAUGGAGAGAUCUCACUGCACUACAAUGAUGGAACCAUCAACGGUAGAUAAGACCGUCACGUGUCUGUCACCAUACCUUCCAUUGAGGUUGGUACGGUUGGGGGUGGGACACAGCUUGAAUCGUUGUUAGCUUCCUUGAACCUGCUCGGAGUGAAGGGUGCUAACAGAGAGGCAUCAGGAUCUCAGCCAUCAGCGCCGCCAUCGAAGCCAUCGGCUCUGGUAGCUCCACUAGGUGGUCGGGACUUACGCCAGCUCACUCGUCCUCCUCUACGAGCCUCAUUUUCUUUCACCAACAAACCCAACAGCUUCCACCACAAUUCGACCUCCCCAUUUCUUCCACCUGCCGUGAGGUCCGCGAGCUCGACCGCGAGUCUGUACAGUACGAGACCAAACUCCAAAUGCUCAAUGUCAUAAGAUCCAUCCUCGACUCCAACGGCAACAGCAAAGUCUCCGACAUCAAGGUUCUCAGCCUUCACGUCCUCCUCGUCUGCCUUGCCCCGAGCUUAACCAUGCUUGAGGUACUGGACAUCAUGUGCCUCCUUGCUCCGCUCCCUGCAAAUUCCUCUACCCAUCACCCAAAUUUAUACAUAAGAAAUAUAUAAAAAAAAAAUGAAUGGUGGAUCAGCACCACCGAAAGCAAAGAAAAAAAAAGUACAAUAAUAAUGUAAAAGAGUGAUGGUGCAUCUGGCACCAUGUGCAAAAAAAAAACAAGGAAAAGAAAGGAAAAUAUAAAAAAAAAAUGGAUGGUGCAUCUGGCACCAUGUGCAAAAAAGAUAAAAAAUAAAAAAAAUGAAAAAAAAAGAAGAAAAACAAAUGCAUUAAGAGAAAUAAAAGUCCAUUUUAUUUAUUUUUUCUGGAAAUUUUACAUAAAUUUGCAUUAUACAUACCUAAAAAAAAGUCAAAUCAAAUUUACAAGAGAGGAUCUUCAAGGAUGAUCAGGUGGCGCCUCAUUACUCGACGGAACUCCAGGAAGAAGAGGAGCCAGAGGUUGAUCAUCUGGAGCUUCAUUACGCGGUACAGCCCUAGAAGACGAAGACAACUGUUUUUGGAACAAACCCACAAACCUUUAAUGAUCAAGUAAAAUCUGACCAUCAGAUUCCUGCAUCUGGUCAAUCUUCCUCUUCAUGUUUGUAGCAUAGUUAUGUGCGAGCCUGUGCAACUGUUUAUUCUCAUGCUUGAGCCCUCUAAUCUCAUGUUUGAGACUCAUCACUUCAGCCACCAAUGAUUCAACUUGACGGGUUCGAGCAAAUAGACGUUGGGCCAUAUUAGACACAAAACCUGCACACUGCACACUGAGAGCCAGAAAAUCCUUAACAACCAACUUAUCAGACCGUUUAGAAAGUAGUCUAUUAUCUUUGGGAGUGACAAGGUUCCUGGCCACCACUGCAGCGGUCAUAUCAUUCUUCAUCAUCGAAUCCCCAACGGUAAGAGGACCAGUAGGGGAUAUAAAGAUGGGCGCCCUAUGUUGUCUGGAGAAGGCGGGACUGCCUUUUCACCAAGGUUCAAGUCAAAACGAAGGUCGGAGGGUCCAGACAUUUUCAAAAGUGUUGAAGAAAGAAGGGGUCAGAUAAAUCAAGAUCUUAGAAGUGCGAGAAGGGAGUUUCUACAAGCGAAAAUUCAAGUGUUCUUUGAAACGAACUGUGUGCCUUUAUAAAAAUGAGCACUCGACGGGAUUUCAGAGAUCAAAGAGGCGAGCUCAGAAUUCGAAAAGGUCAAUUCAAAAAAUCGAAGAGGUGCUAGCUUUCUCAAAAGCUGGGCUUGCUCAGAAACCACGGGUCAAUCUUCCUUUCCAGACUUGUCCGCACUUGUCACAUGCAACCUCUGCACUCGACGGAGCUCAGAAAUUGAAAAGGCCAAUUUAAAAAUCGAAGAGGCAAGCUCAGAAGUCGGAGAGGCAUAUUGCUUUUCCAAACGCGUCAGCACCCGUCACACGUAAACUUAGUUUUGCGGAAAUCACGGGCAAUUUGUCGAAGCGUCGAUCCUAGAUAUCGAAGAAGUGCCAGUCUUUUUCAGCCUCGUCAACACCUGUCACGUGCACACUCAGCUUAGCGGAAAUUAUGGACAAUUUGUCAAAGAUUUCUGAUGAAGAAGAAAGCACGUGAAGCCAUACUGAUUAAUCACUUAAAGGUUGCCGACACGAGUGAAAGAAUAGUACCUCUACAGGUACUAAAGAACUUCCUAUAACUGUCCACCUUCACCCUUCAUAGCAAGGCAGACAUACAUAACCUUUCUUCAUCUCCGAGAAUGCCUUCCCAACGAAGCCUCUCGAGUCACUCAAUGUUCCUUAUUCCUUGGGGUACCUCUGCAAACAAAUGACACUAAAGCAAAAGUAUCUUUUAUCACCAGGGUAGAAAGCAAGAGUAUCUCAUAUCAUGUUUUCUCCCUGUCAUUUCCUUUGUCUUUGUUCUUACCUGCAAAGACAAGGAUAAAGAAAGCAAUAUGUCGGAACCUCCACUCAAACUCAGGUAAGGAAUUGACUACCUGGAACCUUUGCCUAGUUGUUUACCUGGCAUUGUUCUCGAGUACCCGUCUUCAGCUGUUGAUGUACUUCCAAAGAAGAUGCCACAUUUGCCUGGAGAACAGAUAAGGCAAGUGAAAAUGAUACCUUGCAACAUGUGGAGACAACAUGCAGAAGAAAUAAGCAGAGAAGAAUGCAGCAUGCACAGUUAACUCAGCAGAAGGAGUCUGAGUUGAGGAACUCAAGAAGCUGCCACAUUUGCCUGGAGAACAAAUAAGGAAAUGCAGCAUGCACAAUUAACUCAGCAGAAGGAGUCCAAGUUGAAAAAAAAUUAGAGAGAAGAAGGGGUCUGAGUUGAAUCGAAGAGCUCGAGAAGCUUCAACAACAUAUUGACAGCACCAUUGCCGAAGAACAAAGCCUCGCUAUGCAACGUUGUUAAAUCGCCACCACUUCUUCGAAAGCAAGAGUAUUUCAUAUCAUGCUUUCUCCCUGUCCUUUUCUUUGUCCUUGUUCUUACCUACGGGACAAGGAGAAAGAAAGCAAUCAGCCAGCACUUAGUGUCAAUCUUCCGAUCUGGAACCGACUGCUUGGAACCCUUCCAUGAUUGCUUACCUAGCACUGCUCUCGAGUACUCGUCUUCCACUGCUGUUGUACUUCUAAAGAAGCUGCCAUAUCUACCUGGAGAACAGAUAAGGCAAGUGAAAAUGAUACCUUGCAACAUGUGGAGACAACGUGCAGAAGAAACAAGCAGAGAAGAAUGCAGCCUGCACAGUCAACUCAGUAGAAGGAGUCUGAGCUGAGGAACUCGAGACGAUGCCACAUUCUGCCAGAAGAAUAGAUAAGGCAAAGGAAAAUGAUACAUUGAAGCAUGUGGAGACAAGCACAACAAAGCACGUGUCGAUUCAUCCACUACUUCUUCAAAAUUAAAAGUAUCUCAUAUCAUCAGGGUUGCAAUCACUCUGGAUGGAUGACUCGUUUUGACCCUCAAAUUCUUGGGUCGACUCGCUAGGCGUUGUGGGCUGCACGUGCCAAUUCACCACCCUUGAAUCAAAUCCUUAAAGAUCAAGUCACCAACUGGAAGAAGAGUCCAUCAAUCUUGAAGAUCAUACUGUUGACCAAACUGCUCAGGUGUGAAUUAGAAAGAUUGAACAAAGCAAUAAGUCGUCACCUUCACCUCGUGCCUGUUUGCCAUGUGUUCGAGUCAACCUUCAAGAAUCAAGCCUCAACGGCCCUUGAAGAAGCUUCCUGCCAAAUUCAAGAUCAAGCCUCGACGACCCUUGAGGAAAUCACAAGUCCGAUUCAAGAUCAAGCGUCCACCACCCUUGAAUCAAAUCCAGUUCAAGAAUAAGCUGUGGAAAGUUAACAAUUGGAGGAAUCCAGAAAAUACUCCAACCCAGUUCAAGAUCAAAGCUGUGGAAAGUCAACAAGCGCAAAAACAAAUACGUGCCAAUUCAUCCACUACCAAAGCCAAAGAUCAUCUACCACAUGAAGCUCCAUUUCAACCUUCAAGAUCAAGCCUCGACGACCCUUGAAGAAAUUUCAAACAAAGUUCAAGAACAAGCCUCAACGGCCCUUGAAGAAACUUUCAGCCCAAUUCAAGAUCAAGCCUCAACGGCCCUUGAAGAAAUCUCCAGCCCAAUUCAAGAUCAAGCCUCGAUGGCCCUUGGAUCGACAUCUACAUUAAGGGACUUCAAAACGCAUCUUCUACACGUGACAAGCACAUGUAUAUGGCGUGCCUUGAAGUGGGGGCAUUUGUAGACAUCGAAAUUUCAGUGAAAUAAAUGUUGAUCAAUAAUUAAAAUUUCAACGUUCACGUGUCACAUAAAUUUUACACAUAACAGGUGACUCGACGAAAAAUCGAGAAUCAUCAGAAAAGUCAUCAAACAGGACACGUGUCAACACCUGGCAGAAACGAUUUAUUUCAUUUAAAUAAUAUAUUCAAAAUUAGGCUUUGGAAAAUUCUAUAAAAAGAAGCCAUUUCAUUCAUUUUAGGGGGGAAUUCAGAACAAAGGGAAUUGAUAAUCAAUUCAUAAUCCAUUCACCUCACACCAAAACCUUGAAGCUUUGAAACUUCAAAGCUCCCAAGCAAAUCCCGAAGGAUCAAGAAAGCUCUCUUCGUUCUUCGUCAACCCAACCUUCAAGAUCAAGCCCCAACGACCCUUUGAAGGAACUUCCACCAAUUCAAGAUCAAGCCCCGACGGCCCUUGAAGAAAGCGUUUAUCGUUCAUCAUUCAUCAUUCGUUCAUCCUAAGAUCAAGCCCCAACUGCUCUUUGGAUCAACAACAUCAACAAAUCCACACAUCCAACCGUUCUUCAAGAUAAAGCCCAAAAGCCCUUGAAGAUCCAUUCGUCAACUGUUCAUCAAGAUCAAUCCCCAAAGGCCCUUGAAGAUCCGUUCAUCAACAGUUCUUCAAGAUCAAGCCCAAAAGCCCUUAAAGAUCCAUCCAUCAACUGUUCAUCAAGAUCAAGCCCCAAAGGCCCUUGAAGAUCCGUUCAUCAACAGUUCUUCAAGAUCAAGCCUAAAAGCCCUUGAAGAUCCAUCCAUCAACUGUUCAUCAAGAUCAAGCCUCAAAAGCCCCUUGAAGAUCCGUUCAUCAACAGUUCUUCAAGAUCAAGCCCAAAAGCCCUUGAAGAUCCAUCCAUCAACUGUUCAUUAAGAUCAAGCCUCAAAAGCCCCUUGAAGAUCCGUUCAUCAAUAGUUCUUCAAGAACAAGCCCAAAACCCCUUGAAGAUCCGUUCAUCCAUUAACAUUUCAAGAUCAAGCCCAAAAGGGCCCUUGAAGAAACUUCCAACCGUUCAUCCAAGAUCAAGCCUCAACGGCCCUUGGUUCAGCAUCACAAACCACAAAUCAACACCUUACAGAGAUCAAAUCAGAGGAUCAAGUUAUAAAGAGAUUGUAACCCCUAAAUCAUUAAUAUAAAUAUUAUUUUGUACAUGUUUGUUCUUGUCUCGUUUGUUUCAGGAAUUUCCGUGUUUACAUAUUCAGUCACGGACUUAAAGUCCUAGAAGCGAAGAUGUUGCCAGUCGUGUCUUGCUUCAGGCAAUGAGAUGUCUUUCUGGUGAUCGAAACGGUCGGCCAAAGCAAGCUAGAGGGUGCGUGGGUCCUCCUCAGCGAAAUAUUCAGUCUACAGUGCAUCAUGGAUAUGCCUUCGAAUGAAAAUCAUUGUAGUAGCCUUCUGAGCUUCGUCAACAGGUUUGUUGGCGAUAGGUGUCUUGAUGGUGGCUCUAAUGCCCUUUGCAGUUAGAUGGAGCUUCACAUCUUGAACCUACUUCAGAUAGUUUCUUCCAGAGACUUCUAGAGCGGAGAAAUCAAGCUUGUUCAAGUUCAACAUGUCCCUAAAACGGAGGGGGAAAAACGUGAUUAGUCAUAUGGAAGCCAUAGACAUAUAUCGUAGAACAUACAAGUUCUAUAGACAUUUAUUGGUUUAAUUUAUACAACUACAGGUUUCAUGUGGUAUGUUUUGAAUGAAAACUUCAAGUUUCAAAGGCAUUAAAUUUGAAACUACAUGUUCAAUUUAGUGUUAUGAACAAUUAGUUCAUAAUGAGAGGUUCCUGCAAGAAGAAUGCAAUAUACAAAUUUGAAUAUACUGGAUUUGAGGUUCUUCAAGAACUUAAGUGUGAGAGCUUCGUUACUACGAAAGUAUGUUACAGUUCAAAGUAUAAAAAUAAAUUAUUUAAUCGUUAAUGUCCAAAAGUGAUCUUCAGGUCAAUAAUUUUGGAUUCAUUAUCAGACUAAUAGACUGCAGAACACUUUUAAUUAAUUCAAUAAAUUGGGUCAUACGGGGUAGAUUGUAGAAGCUAAAUAAUAUUAAAAUAAUAUUAUCGGGUUGAAAAUAUGGCAUAGCCCAAAGAAGAGCUAGGUGCCGUGAGCAAAAGGGCUAGGGUUGGCUACUAAAAACAGCCCUUAGGGUAGCUGCAGGCCAUGGGUCCAGGGGGUAAGCCCAAAGGCUUACGGGAGUUGAAGAAAAACCCCAGCCAUAGCUGGGUUUCAUGUCUGGGCCGAUGGGGCACGGUUCAGGUCCAGCGAAAGCUGGCUUGUGGGUUUGGGUGUGUGAGGGCUAAGCCUAGCCUUGUGGGCUAGUUGGUGUGGGUCAUGGGAAAAAUCCCAGCCAACUGGAUUGGAUUGGAUGGCUGUAGGCCGGGGCAACACAAGGCCCAACAAGCACAUGAGUUUGCUGGCGGGCGGGCCAAGACAGCAUGAUUGGGCUCGGGCCUUCAGGCUUUGUCGAGGUUGAUUCCAGGUCGAGGUCUAGUUGUUGCUUGCACAGUGAUGGUGUGGUGGUGCAUCGCACCAUGUCCAAUUCCCCCUUUGUUUUCGAAAUCCCUUAGGGUUUAGGAAACCCUAAAUUUGCUUCUAAUUUAAUUUUAUAUAUUGACUCACAUAUUCCACAUAACAAUUUAAUUGUGCGAUGCAUGAAACAUAUAUAUAUAUAUAUAUAUAUAUAUAUAUAUAUAUAUAUCGUAAGGAAAAAUAUAAACAGGGAGGGGUUCAUCCAUCAUGGGGAAUAUUUUCAUGCUUCGUGAAUGUUUCAAAUAUCUUCUUUUAUUUUAAGCAUACCUGAUUAGCAAAAAACGAAUAUAAGCCUUUGAAUUUGGUGGAUGAUAGCCUCUUCCUUCGAUGCGUCAAUUCCUCAGCUUCUGGCAAGUGCGUGCUGAUAACGUGUUGUAUGCCUAUUUGAUUGAAUGAUCUAGGGUUGAGAGAGAGAGAGAGAGGGGGCCGGCCAUAAUUAGAGAGAAGAGAGUGAUUUAAUUGUGAGAUGUGUUUGAUUCACCUCAUUGUGCCUUUAUUUAUAACAGUAGGAUAGGUAAAAACAUAUACCUUUAGGAUUACAACAUUUAAUAGGUAAUCAACUCCUAAUAGGAAUAUAAGAUACAUUAUCAUAUUUACUAAGAUUUUCACAAUCACAUUCAUAUUCUAAAUAUGACUGUAACAUAAUCAACUAUUUAAAGGAGUGAAAAUAAAAUAACAAUAAUAAAGUAAAAAUUAAAUAAAUCUGACAAACUCACCUAAUCAUUGUUAUAUAGGUUGAUCCUCCAUUCGCCCAAGUCAAUCAAGAUGGAGACGAAGGAGUGGUCGGAUCUUCCAAAGUAGCUAUGGUCGGCAAUCAGUAACAUAAUUAACUAUUUAAAAAGUGAAAAUAAAAUAACAAUAAUAAAGUAAAAAUUAAAUAAAUCUGACAAACUCACCCAAUCAUUGUUAAAUAGGUCAUUCGUCCAAGUCAAUCAAGAUGGAGACGAAGAAGGAGUGGUUGGAUCUUCCAAAUGAGUUAUGGUCGGCAAUCGAUAACAUAAUCAAGUAUUUAAAGGAGUGAAAAUAAAUUAACAAUAAUAAAGUAAAAAUUAAAUAAAUCUGACAAACUCACCCAAUCAUUGUUAAAUAGGUUGAUCCUCCAUUCGCCCACGUCAAUCAAGAUGGAGACGCAGUGGUCGGAUCUUCCAAAGGAGCUAUGGUCGGCAAUCGGAAAUCGCCUCGACAACCGCCUCGACGUUCUCCGAUUUCGCAGCGUCUGCAAUACAUGGCGCUCCUCCGUCUCCCCUUUUCAACAACCCGUUACCCUUCCUCUGCCCCUCAGCUUCUCUUCCCCUCCAGCCGCCGAGGAUGGCGGAGCUCUGCAGACUCAACCCAAAGCCCUACUCCUUCAAAUCAAAGUCUAUCGGAUGGAAUCGCUUGUCGGCGAAAAACCCAAUUCGUCAAAACCCUGGGUGGUGAAGUUUGAGGAGUCGAGUUCCGGGAACCUGCGAUUGCUGCAUCCAAUCAGUAAUAAGCCACUCAGGUUUUCGCCUGCAUCUAACUCUUUAAAGGAAUUCAAUUUGUUGGACUUUAAGAUGGUCGAAUUGCGAAAAUCGUACAGUCUGCAGUUCAGGAAUAGUCUCAAUGUUGUUACGGCUUGUGUGAACAAAGUGGUAGUCAUGGAUGCAAAGAAGUUGAAUGAUUGUGGUAUUUUUAUGAUUUGCAAUGGCGGAAAGUUGGGUUUCUUGAGAUUCGGGGAUGAGAAAUGGACCCAUGUGGAUGAACAAAACUCACAUUAUGAUGAUCUUAUUGUGUAUAAGGGUCAAUGCUAUGUUGUUGAUAGAUGGGGAACAGUUUCAUGGGUCAAUUCGGAUUUGAAUGUGAUCCAAUUUUCGCCUCCGUUAUGUGGGUUUGGCGGGCGGAAGCAUUUGGUUGAGUCCCUUGGCGAUCUCUUCGUUGUUGAUCGGUACCUUGACAAGUGUGAAAUGGAAGGGUUACCAGAGCACAAUGUUGAGAAUGAAAAUGUUAGUGUUUUUGGCCCUAAUUUUCAAGCUCCUCCUCCUCCUUUCGCCGCUUCUGUUGACGGCAAGGCUGUUGAUUUUAAAGUUUAUAGGCUGGAUCAAGAAUGGGGUACGUGGGUUCAAAUGAAAAACUUGGGAGAUCAAGUGUUUAUUUUGAGCAAUGAUGGGUCUUUCGCCGUCUCCACCAGAGACGUUGGUAGAGUGAAGGGAAAUUGCAUUUUAUUCACUGAUCAAAAGCUUCCUCAUUUACACGGAAUUGGGGGAUCAAAAAGGCCUAACACUCGCGUGUUCAUGCUAAAGGGUGACAGCAUCAUUCGGGACGGACAUGCUUUGUCCGCCUUUAACAAAAUGCUCCAUCCACCAUCCAGUUGGCUCCGCCCUGUUCUUGGUUUCCGUCGGCAUCGGCUUGCUGACUGGGAUAAUGCUGACAGCGAGUGAAGACACACUUUCUGCAUCUCUCGGAGGCGGAAUAUCCACUUUCUCAUGAAGAGUGAUUUGUAGAAUCAUCUGCUAUGAACUAGUGUAAAAUCAUCAAUCUAGUUUAUCCGAUGUUAUUGUGGAUGUAUAUAUGCAGAUUAUGCAAUCCGUUUCUUUGUUGAACUCAAAUCUUUACAUGUAAUUGGUAAUGUAAUGCGUUUCUUGAAUCAGAUUCCCCUCCUCACCCACCC